GAUUUGGGUUGUUCAACAUGUUGGCAUUGACAUCCUUGUAGAAUCCUAUGCAAUAUCUUUUCCACGAUUUUUGCAAUGGCCGUGUGUAAAGAUUCGACCAAGCAGUUUAAAUGAAGUGUUCUCUGUUGCUGAGGUAUUUAAUUGUGUGGUUAAGACCUUCACUAACAUUGGUGUAUUUUUAUAUGUUGAUCAUAAGAAUUUUUUUUUAUUGUAGAUUGUAUGGGAUUGGCUAGUGACUGAAGUGGAGGAAGGAUUGAACAUUGUUAAAGAAGCCCUUGAAAUUGGAGAGGAACAUCAUGAAUAUAGUGUAUAUUCUUCAAGUGAGUGGGAGAAAGUUUGUAACGAGCAUAAUAUGUGCGAAUUUGUACUUCUACAAAAUAACAAGAGGAUAUGUGAUGUUGAGAACCAAUUAAGAGUGGUGAAAGAACAAUUGCACAAACAAAAC
rnacentral:lncRNA from 1 species